UCUCCGUUGGUGAACCAGCGGAGGGAUCAUUACCGAGUUUACAACUCCCAAACCCCUAUGUGAACGUUACCAUACUGUUGCCUCGGCGGGAAAUUCAUGCCCCGGGCGCGUCGCAGCCCCGGACCAAGGCGCCCGCCGGAGGACCAACCAAAACUCUUUUGAAUGUCCCUCGCGGACUUUUAUAAUUCUGAACCAUCUCGGCGCCCCUAGCGGGCGUUUCGAAAAUGAAUCAAAACUUUCAACAACGGAUCUCUUGGUUCUG
rnacentral:misc_RNA from 1 species